UGCAGCACAAUUCAUUCCAUGUCCCCUCUGGAUAUUAGACUGAUAAUUUGGAUCAGGUCUCAGCAUGGGCCAUUGAGGAACACUACAGCCCUGCUGAGAGAUAAAAAGGAUUAUCCACUCAAGGAGUUCACACGUCCUGGCCGACAUGGAGAACGUGCCUAGAAGCAGACUUGGAGGGUGCUCAGUGGUGGGUUGUGGAAUGUAAGCCUGAAGAAGCAGAGUUUAAUUAUAUGGGGGUACUUUCAUAAUUUAGUGCCCUGACAGGGCUCCUGGUGUUGAUCCUUAGACACUCCUGGGAUGGCUCCCUGGAAACAUGGAGGAAACCUUGGUCGCAUGACAUGAUACGGAGAUGUCAGAGCUGCCUGGACACAGUUACAGAGAGAGGCAUUAAAAGGCUUCGAGAGAACCCUAAACCUUGAAUCAGCCUUAUAGUCCUGGCUCCUAGAAGAGUGUUUCUCAAAGUGUACUCCAUGGACCACCUGGAUCAGAAGCAUGUGAGGCUUUUAAUAAUAAUAAUAAAAAAAAGUACAGGUUCUGGGAAGCACCCAACACAGUAAGACAGAAUCUUGGAAUGAAGGGUGAAAAUGUGCAUUUUAAAAUAACCUCCAGAGCUGAUUCUUAUUCAAACUGACUUUUUAAAACUGCUGCACUAGUGACAAGAGAUGGAGAGGCUGUCCUGAACCUGACACAGGAAGGUGUUCUAGAAAGCUGCUCACAGGCUCCCUCGCAGCCCACCAAAUCCGCCUCACUCUUAUCUCCCCCAACCCCUCAAAGCAGCUGCUUUGACAGUUUCUCACAUUUUUGCAUGAUAAUUCCACAACUGCAAUUCCUUCUGGCUUCCUGUGACCUCAGGCAAGAAAAGGUUGUGUACUAAAUGAAUCUGCUUUAAUUUGCUCUCUUUCUCGGGGAUCACACCUUUUUAAGAAAGCCUGUCCCUUACCUUGAAGCAUAAACAUAUUCUCAUUUUUAUUCUCCCAAUACCUUGAGGGUUUUCUUCUGCUUGAUCUGCCUUUUGUGCGUGGGGUGGGAGUUGGGUAGGAAUCUUAAAGUGGAGAGCCAGUUUCUUCCCAAAUUACUGACCUAACCUGUCCUUAACCCCCAGUUCAAGGCCACCUUUGUGAUAGUGAAGUUUCCACACGCUCACUCAGCCCCUUCUGCUCUCUCUUCUUCUCUACUGUGCAUGUCAGCUUGUACUUUUGCCAGUUUCUCUAAAGACACAACCAGAGGUGGGGUGGCUGUGUGUGCACAACUUCAACUUUACAUAUGGGGCUGAGUCCCUAUGUUGUAUAUCCUUGUGCAAGAGCACAAUCUGUUAAUUGCUAUAGCUUUUAAAAAAAAUUAAUAGUUUUUCAUAAUCAAAUUUUCUUGCUUUUUUGUUUUUUCAAAAAAGCAUACUUUUAUUGAAGAAUAUACCCCUUAUAUAUAUGUACACUUAUUUAUAACUAUGAACCAUGAACUAGGAUAGAAAUGCAUUGUGUAUAUUACAAAACAUAACAAAAAUAAUAGGGGUAGGGAGGUGCGGAUGUUGGUCAAAGGAUAUAAACCUGCAGUUCUAUGAUGAAUCAGUUCUGGACAUCUGGAAUACAGCAUGGUGACUAUACUUAGUAAUACUAUAUUGUACACUUGAAGCUUACUGAAAGAGUAAAUCUUAAGUGUUCUCACCACACAAACCCAAAGGUAACUAUGUGAGAUGAUGACUGUAUUAAUUAGCUCGAUUUUGGUAACCAUUUCACAAUGUAUACAUUUGCCAAAACAUUAUAUUGUAUACCUGGAAUAUAUAAUUUUAUUUAUCAAUUAUACCUCAAUAAAGCUGAAAGAGGGGAUUACUAAUUCCCACAAAAUACAGAUUUAACAAAAAUUUUUAUUCAACAAACAGUGCUAUGAAGUUGUAAAUUGGAAACAAAAGAAAUAAAAUUUUAUCCACAGUCUUCUCAUCAA
rnacentral:lncRNA from 1 species